CCUACGGGUGGCAGCAGUGAGGAAUAUUGGUCAAUGGGCGCGAGCCUGAACCAGCCACGUCGCGUGAGGGAUGAAGGUUCUAUGGAUCGUAAACCUCUUUUAUAAGGGAAUAAAGUGUGGGACGUGUCCUAUUUUGUCUGUACCUUCUGACUAAGGAUCGGCUAACUCCGUGCCAGCAGCCGCGGUAAUACGGAGGAUCCGAGGGUUAUCCGGAUUUAUUGGGUUUAAAGGGUGCGUAGGCGGCCUUUUAAGAAAGCGGUGAAAUUCUGUGGUUCAACCAUAGAAUUGACGUUGAAACUGGGGGGCUUGAGUAUGUUUGAGGCAGGCGGAAUGCGUGGUGUAGCGGUGAAAUGCUUAGAUAUCACGCAGAACCCCGAUUGCGAAGGCAGCCUGCCAAGCCAUGACUGACGCUGAUGCACGAAAGCGUGGGGAUCAAACAGGAUUAGAUACCCCAGUAGUC
rnacentral:rRNA from 1 species